rnacentral:rRNA from 1 species
UACGUAGGGUCCGAGCGUUGUCCGGAAUUACUGGGCGUAAAGAGCUCGUAGGUGGUUUGUCGCGUUGUUCGUGAAAACUCACAGCUCAACUGUGGGCGUGCGGGCGAUACGGGCAGACUUGAGUACUGCAGGGGAGACUGGAAUUCCUGGUGUAGCGGUGAAAUGCGCAGAUAUCAGGAAGAACACCGGUGGCGAAGGCGGGUCUCUGGGCCGAUACUGACGCUGAGGAGCGAAAGCGUGGGGAGCGAACAGG